rnacentral:pre_miRNA from 1 species
AGGGCGGGUCGUGUGUCAGUGUAUUUAUAUCUUAGCUAUAUUGCACACUUCCCGGCCUUU